GAUUACGGCCAUACCACACUGACAACGCCCGAUCUCGUCUGAUCUCGGAAUCUAAGCAGAGUUGGGCUGGGUCAGUACUUGGAUGGGUGACCCCCUGGGAAUACCCGGUGCUGUAAGCA
rnacentral:rRNA from 1 species